GUACGUAAUUUUUUGCCCAGCCACCCACUCGCUAUUCCGCGAACAAUUGGACAUCAUGGAUUGGAACGGAACGGACGGAACAGAAGAAGAAUAACUUUAUGCAAGCCGAGAUUCAUCCGUGGAGUGCAAAAAGAGAAGGCUUUACUUGUGUACAAACAAAGUUUUGCGUACAAAAAGAAUCACAAUGCAGCCUAAUUUAGCCCGAGCCAGGUUGUUGUAAGAAUUGAGUCGAUUGGAAAAGUUUUACGGGUGUAAUCGAUAGACCGACGGACAGACAAACAGACAUGACGGUUCCAUAAGCCCUGAUUCGGGCUGCACAAAAACGACCGGAAUAGUUAGUAUUUGUUUAAAUAAAAUUCUGCUUGAAAUGUA